CGGACGGGUGAGUAACACGUGGAUAACCUACCUAUAAGACUGGGAUAACUUCGGGAAACCAGAGCUAAUACCGGAUAAUAUAUUGAACCGCAUGGUUCAAUAGUGAAAGACGGUUUUGCUGUCACUUAUGGAUGGAUCCGCGCCGCAUUAGCUAGUUGGUAAGGUAACGGCUUACCAAGGCAACGAUGCGUAGCCGACCUGAGAGGGUGAUCGGCCACACUGGAACUGAGACACGGUCCAG
rnacentral:rRNA from 1 species